CCAAACUUGGUCAUUUAGAGGAAGUAAAAGUCGUAACAAGGUUUCCGUAGGUGAACCUGCGGAAGGAUCAUUAUUGAAUAUACUUGGAUAGGUUGUUGCUGGCUUUUUAUCGAAGCAAAUGUGCACACCUUGUCCAAUAUUUUAAACCCACCUUGUGCACCUUUUGUAGGCCCGAACCACUGUCGAGAGAGAGAGAAAUCUUUUCUCGGUCUUGGGGAUUGCUUCACAUUCAAAAGCUUUUCCCUUGUGCUUUUGGGUCUAUGUCUUUUAUAUAUACUCCAUAUGAAUGUAUUUGAAGGUCAUUUACUGGGACUUAACUGGCCCUUUAAACUUAUACAACUUUCAGCAACGGAUCUCUUGGCUCUCGCAUCGAUGAAGAACGCAGC
rnacentral:misc_RNA from 1 species